rnacentral:tRNA from 1 species
GGAUAUAGCCAAAUUGGUAAGGCGCCAGAUUCUGAUUCUGGUUAGUGCGGGUUCGAACCCUGCUAUC